CCCGCGUGGCGUACGCCGUGACGCAGCCGGUCCGCCGCGCGAGGAAGUGGCGCUGUUGUUUGAGCGACGGGACCGUCUCGCUCUGUCUCGUGGGUUCGUCUGAAGAGGUUUUACCGUGUUUCGUUGAGUUCCGCAGUUCAUGCUCCAGGACUGAGCGCGCUCCACAACUCUCUCGUGCCGUCCGCUCAACAUAAUCGCGAGUAAUGGCUGCUGAGGUCAAUGGCAGCUCCGGUCUGGUCAAAGAAGAAGAGGAGCCCAUGGAUGUGACGGCCACACACUCAGAGAACUACCAGGCGCUGCUGGACGCUGGUCUGCCGCAGAAGGUGGCCGAAGAGCCUGGACAACACUCUUCCAGACAGGGCUGGUGGCGUACGUGGAUCUGGACGAGAGGGCGCUGUGGUCAGGCUGCGGU